rnacentral:rRNA from 1 species
AAACAGGUUAAUAUUCCUGUACCGAUAUGGAAUGCGAUGGGGGACGGAGAAGGGUAGGUCAGCCAACUGUUGGAAUAGUUGGUUCAAGCGUGUAGGCGUGCUCUGUAGGCAAAUCCGCAGAGCUUAGCUGAGGCGUGAUAACGAGGUGCCACGUGCACUGAAGUGAUUGAUCCCAUGCUUCCAGGAAAAGCCUCUAAGCUUCAGUUUCAUAUUGACCGUACUGCAAACCGACACAGGUGGGUAGGGUGAGAAUCCUAAGGCGCUUGAGAGAACUCAGGAGAAGGAACUCGGCAAAUUAACACCGUAACUUCGGGAGAAGGUGUGCCCCUUGUAGGGUGAAGUCCCUUGCGGAUGGAGCUCGAAAGGGUUGCAGUGAAAAGGUGGCUGCGACUGUUUAUUAAAAACACAGCACUCUGCAAACACGAAAGUGGACGUAUAGGGUGUGACGCCUGCCCGGUGCUGGAAGAUUAAAUGAUGGGGUGCAAGCUCUUGACUGAAGUCCCAGUAAAC